UACGGAGGAUCCGAGCGUUAUCCGGAUUUAUUGGGUUUAAAGGGUGCGUAGGCGGCCUAUUAAGUCAGGGGUGAAAGACGGUGGCUCAACCAUCGCAGUGCCUUUGAUACUGAUGGGCUUGAUUGCAGCUGAGGUAGGCGGAAUGUGACAAGUAGCGGUGAAAUGCAUAGAUAUGUCACAGAACACCGAUUGCGAAGGCAGCUUACUAAAGUGUAAAUGACGCUGAGGCACGAAAGCGUGGGGAUCAAACAGG
rnacentral:rRNA from 1 species